rnacentral:rRNA from 1 species
UCCUACGGGAGGCAGCAGUGGGGAAUCUUGCGCAAUGGGCGAAAGCCUGACGCAGCAACGCCGCGUGGGGGAUGAAGGCCCUUGGGUUGUAAACCCCUUUCAGCAGGGACGAAACUGACGGUACCUGCAGAAGAAGCCCCGGCCAACUACGUGCCAGCAGCCGCGGUAAGACGUAGGGGGCGAGCGUUGUCCGGAUUCAUUGGGCGUAAAGGGCUCGUAGGCGGCUUGGCAAGUCGGGUGUGAAACCUCCAGGCUCAACCUGGAGUCGCCACUCGAUACUGCUAUGGCUUGAGUCCGGUAGGGGACCACGGAAUUCCUGGUGUAGCGGUGAAAUGCGCAGAUAUCAGGAGGAACACCGGUGGCGAAGGCGGUGGUCUGGGCCGGCACUGACGCUGAGGAGCGAAAGCGUGGGUAGCAAACAGGAUUAGAUACCCUGGUAGUCCACGCCGUAAACGUUGGGCACUAGGUGUGGGGCCUUAUCAACGGGUUCCGUGCCGUAGCUAACGCAUUAAGUGCCCCGCCUGGGGAGUACGGCCGCAAGGCUAAAACUCAAAGGAAUUGACGGAAUCGAAUUCCCG